rnacentral:SRP_RNA from 1 species
AGGCAGGGAGGACUGGGGUGUUAGCCGUACCCCUUUCUGGAAAUCGGCUUUAUGCUGGGGUCAGUAACUGUUGGGUAAAUCCUUAGAUAGUGAUUUCCUACAUACCAAGUUGAAAUGAAAUUACGCCGAAUUGGAUGGGUAUGAGCAGCAGACUAUACGAAGGUAUGGUCUUGACUGUUAAUCCUCGAAAUGGGUCAGGUCCGGGAGGGAGCAACCCUAAGGUGACGUAUCCAUGCUGGUUCGUCUACGUGGUGGAUCAUACAAGGUGUGAGAUUGGGAUUGUUAUUUAUGGUGGUACCAAUAGGCUGUCU